rfam:Myotis lucifugus cont2.42367, whole genome shotgun sequence.
GGCGGUUCUUGGGUGAUGCACCCCAGAAUUGGGCUCUCUCCUCUCUGGUUCUGUCACCUGAGAACCCCA